AGGCCCCUUCGGGGGUACUCGAGUGGCGAACGGGUGAGUAACACGUGGGCAAUCUGCCCUGCACUUCGGGAUAAGCCUGGGAAACUGGGUCUAAUACCGGAUAGGACCUUUAGGCGCAUGUCUUUAGGUGGAAAGCUUUUGCGGUGUGGGAUGGGCCCGCGGCCUAUCAGCUUGUUGGUGGGGUGAUGGCCUACCAAGGCGACGACGGGUAGCCGGCCUGAGAGGGUGUCCGGCCACACUGGGACUGAGAUACGGCCCAGACUCCUACGGGAGGCAGCAGUGGGGAAUAUUGCACAAUGGGCGCAAGCCUGAUGCAGCGACGCCGCGUGGGGGAUGACGGCCUUCGGGUUGUAAACCUCUUUCACCAUCGACGAAGGUCCGGGUUUUCUCGGAUUGACGGUAGGUGGAGAAGAAGCACCGGCCAACUACGUGCCAGCAGCCGCGGUAAUACGUAGGGUGCGAGCGUUGUCCGGAAUUACUGGGCGUAAAGAGCUCGUAGGUGGUUUGUCGCGUUGUUCGUGAAAUCUCACGGCUUAACUGUGAGCGUGCGGGCGAUACGGGCAGACUAGAGUACUGCAGGGGAGACUGGAAUUCCUGGUGUAGCGGUGGAAUGCGCAGAUAUCAGGAGGAACACCGGUGGCGAAGGCGGGUCUCUGGGCAGUAACUGACGCUGAGGAGCGAAAGCGUGGGGAGCGAACAGGAUUAGAUACCCUGGUAGUCCACGCCGUAACGGUGGGUACUAGGUGUGGGUUUCCUUCCUUGGGAUCCGUGCCGUAGCUCACGCAUUAAGUACCCCGCCUGGGGAGUACGGCCGCAAGGCUAAAACUCAAGGAAUUGACAGGGGCCCGCACAAGCGGCGGAGCAUGUGGAUUAAUUCGAUGCAACGCGAGAACCUUACCUGGGUUUGACAUGCACAGGACGCGUCUAGAGAUAGGCGUCCCUGUGCGCGCGUGAGACGACAAUAA
rnacentral:rRNA from 1 species